UCUCUAAAGUGUUAUUUUUAGAUACUUGUAUUUCUCAUUGAUUUGUCUUUAUAUCCUCUAACAUUGUAUGAUUGUAUUUCUCAGAUCUGCCGCCGUGAUUGAGUUGCUGUUUUUGUGUCUUUUAGAGGGUUGGGUGGUAGUUUUGUGGCUUUAUAUCCUCCUAGUGUAGUUUUGGUAUCCAUGGGUGUAUGCUAGAGGGUAAGGUUUUUUUUGGGAGAUGCAACGGGUAAUUUUUUGUACCUCUUGGAGAUCGAAGGUGUUUUGGUACCAUGAGCCAACAAGUUUUGGAGGACUACUACAAAGUUUUGGAGGUUGAUGAUGAUGCAACUGAGGAAAAUAUCAGAUUGAAUUACCUAAGGCUUCCACUGCAACAUUGGUGAACAAGUUCACUGAAAUUGUGAGAUGGAAGUUGAGGAACAAAUUUCACUAUAAGGUAUUAAUCCCACUGAAGAGGAUAAUGAGAGUUGAGCUAAGUGAGAAUGUAAGGAAGCCAUGAAUGGUGUACAUAGAAGGGAAAAAGUAAGGAAGCCAUGCAUGACACGUUGCCACUCUCUCAAUUAAUAGAUCAUAUUUGUCUAUUUAUGUUCUGGUUUAUAUAUCAGUGCAUUGGUUGGGUUGCCGCCUAAGUGAGAAUGUAAGGAAGUCAUGAAUGGUGUACAUAGAAGGGAAAAAGUAAGGAAGCCAUGCAUGACACGUUGCCACUCUCUCAAUUAAUAGAUCAUAUUUGUCUAUUUAUG